CCUACCUGUGUCCUCCUGCUCCCUCCCCAUCAGUCUUUUCCUCCUCCUCCCAUACCUGCCUUCUCUCUUCUGCAGCAAUUUCUCUUCCGACUCUUCCAUUUGGCUCCCUCCCACUUCUCCAACUCUGCCAUGAUCUAUCUUUACGGUAUCACCACCAUUCAUCUUCCUUCUAUAGGUUUCUCUUUUCUCUCUUCUCUCCCCAUCUUUCUUGCCCUUUCUCCUGGCUUCCAUUUUGCUUUUCAUCCCACCAAUAACAGCCAUUUUUCUCAGGUUUCCUUUCAGGCCUUGGCUAUGUUACCUUGGAGGAAUGUUCUCAUGGUGUGAGAUCUCUGUUGGAUGUGGACAUGGCAGCGCAUCUUCAGAUCCAUCUGCCCACCAAGAAGAGAUGUCCUCCCUCAAACUGGAGAUUGCCAUAGCCAAAAAGCCCUCAAGGAAUCUGCAGAUCUUCUCUCAUCCCAUCUUCCCCGUGGAUGGGAAAACAACUGUGUAAGAAGAGAAGGAACCUGUCCUCAAGAUAUGGUCAAAUCUGUCACCACCCGGUUGCCAAAUCAUUGCGAGAGAGUGAUGGAUGGAGCUGGAAAACCUGGUCAGUUCAGAGAUGGACUGAUGAGAGAUGGAACGGGAUCACAUCUUGGUGAACACACAGGACUGAGCCAAAGCUGGCUGCUGUCCGUCGGAUGGUUCCCCUCAUCUGCAGUUGGGUGUUGGAUCAGAGCCCGUCCCUGAAAAAUCAUAACUGUUAACAGAGGUGUCUGGGAGCGAUCGCAGCAGUGAUGGGAGAUGGAAGAGCACCAGCGGGGGCCUUUGUUACCGCGAGCCAAGGAGGAGUUUGGGAAGAGCCGCUCCAAAUCACCUGAUCUCCUGAUGGAAGAAUUGGAGGGGAGACCAGCAAAGGAAGGAGGUGAGCUGAGAUACCCAUGGGAAGCGCUUUGCUGAUUUGUUUGUUUGUACUUAAUAUGAUAUUCUCAGGGUGACGCUGAUUCAGGUAUAAUGGACUGUCCACAAUGCCAAUGGGUGCUGAGCAUCCAGGUGAGAAUGCAGGGAUUCCUAUUUACCUCCUGUCUCUUCUCUACCUACGAG
rnacentral:lncRNA from 1 species